GUAGAUACUCAUCCCACUCCUUAUGACAGUAUAGCUUCAUAAACCUCGGGAUGAUGUAGAGCUGAUUGUUGGUGCCUAUGGUCCAUGUUAUAGAUGAGUAAGUCUAUUGUCUUUUCAUCACGAACCGGACAUAACGUUGAGUGAGGCACUAUCCGUCUGUAGACCUGAUUGUAUUUAUGCACCUGUCUUAUCGCGGCAGGUGUUUUUUU
rfam:Xenorhabdus innexi strain HGB1681 (deposited as PTA-6826 in the American Type Culture Collection) genome assembly, scaffold: XIS1_scaffold1